rnacentral:rRNA from 1 species
GACGAACGCUGGCGGCGUGCCUAAUACAUGCAAGUGGGACGCAAGGAAACACACUGUGCUUGCACACCGUGUUUUCUUGAGUCGCGAACGGGUGAGUAACGCGUAGGUAACCUGCCUAUUAGCGGGGGAUAACUAUUGGAAACGAUAGCUAAUACCGCAUAAUAUUAAUUAUUGCAUGAUAAUUGAUUGAAAGAUGCAAGCGCAUCACUAGUAGAUGGACCUGCGUUGUAUUAGCUAGUUGGUAAGGUAAGAGCUUACCAAGGGAACGAAACAUAGCCGACCUGAGAGGGUGACCGCCCACAUGGGCACUGGAACACGGCCAAAAUUCUACGGGAGGCAGCAGUAGGGGAUCCUCCGCCAUUGACGAAAGUCUGACCGAGCCAACCCGCCGGGGUGAAGAAGGGUUUCGGAUCGUAAAGCUCCGUUUUAAGUCAAGAACGUGUGUGAGAGUGGAAAGUUCACACAGUGACGGUAGCUUACCAGAAAGGGACGGCUAACUACGUG